CUUCUAGCGAGAGUUCUUCCCUUUUCAGCUGGUCUGAUGCGAGUUCUUGCAGCACUGCAAGUACCAAGGACUCUGUGAAGAGUGAAGACUUUUCCGAUUUCCUAUUUGGGGAAGUGGGACCUGGUUGGUACGGCCAUCCUGGGAUUUCGGCAGACACAGUUGCUCCUUCCUCGUAUAGGAAUGUUGAUGCAGACUCGCAUAGGAGAUGGGAUAGUUGAGACAAGCACACCCAGGGAAUGACCGGAAAUAGUAUAUAAGAAUGCGUUUAAACCCUGCAUUCUUUGUACACCGAUACAAGUUAGCAAGUAAGAAAAAGACUGGAAAGUUGACAGUUGACAGUUGACAGUUAGCAUCCCCCAGUUUUGGUAGUGAUAAAAGUAGGUGAGCUGAGUUUAAACAAUUAGUGUAGACCCCUAACCCCUUCCGUUAUGAGAUAUGGUGGUGUAGUAAUAGGAGCAAUGGGG
rnacentral:misc_RNA from 1 species